GCUGACGACCGGCGCACGGGUGCGUAACGCGUAUACAAUCUACCUUUUACAGGGGGAUAGCCCGGGGAAACCCGGAUUAAUAUCCCAUGGUAUCAUUGAAUGGCAUCAUUUAAUGAUUAAAGCUUCGGCGGUAAAAGAUGAGUAUGCGUCCUAUUAGUUAGUUGGUAAGGUAACGGCUUACCAAGGCAUCGAUAGGUAGGGGUCCUGAGAGGGAGAUCCCCCACACUGGUACUGAGACACGGACCAGACUCCUACGGGAGGCAGCAGUGAGGAAUAUUGGACAAUGGGCGAGAGCCUGAUCCAGCCAUGCCGCGUGCAGGAAGACUGCCCUAUGGGUUGUAAACUGCUUUUAUACGGGAAGAAACACUCCUUCGUGAAGGAGCUUGACGGUACCGUACGAAUAAGGAUCGGCUAACUCCGUGCCAGCAGCCGCGGUAAUACGGAGGAUCCAAGCGUUAUCCGGAAUCAUUGGGUUUAAAGGGUCCGUAGGCGGGUAUGUCAGUCAGUGGUGAAAGUCUGCAGCUCAACUGUAGAACUGCCAUUGAUACUGCAUACCUUGAGUAAUUAUGAAGUGGUUAGAAUAUGUAGUGUAGCGGUGAAAUGCAUAGAUAUUACAUAGAAUACCGAUUGCGAAGGCAGAUCACUAAUAAUUUACUGACGCUGAUGGACGAAAGCGUAGGUAGCGAACAGGAUUAGAUACCCUGGUAGUCUACGCCGUAAACGAUGGUUACUAGCUGUUUGGCUCGAUUGA
rnacentral:rRNA from 1 species